rnacentral:rRNA from 1 species
AUUGAACGCUGGCGGCAUGCUUUACACAUGCAAGUCGAACGGUAACAGGCCUUCGGGUGCUGACGAGUGGCGAACGGGUGAGUAAUGCAUCGGAACGUACCCAGAGGUGGGGGAUAACGCAGCGAAAGCUGUGCUAAUACCGCAUGUGAUCUGAGGAUGAAAGCGGGGGACCGAGCAGCAAUGUUUGGCCUCGCGCCUUUGGAGCGGCCGAUGUCGGAUUAGCUAGUUGGUGGGGUAAAGGCCUACCAAGGCGACGAUCCGUAGCUGGUCUGAGAGGACGACCAGCCACACUGGGACUGAGACACGGCCCAGACUCCUACGAGAGGCAGCAGUGGGGAAUUUUGGACAACGGGCGCAAGCCUGAUCCAGCAAUGCCGCGUGCGGGAAGAAGGCCUUCGGGUUGUAAACCGCUUUUGGCAGGAACGAAACGGUGUCCGCUAAUACCGGGCGCUAAUGACGGUACCUGCAGAAUAAGCACCGGCUAACUACGUG